rnacentral:tRNA from 13 species
GCCCUUAUAGUUUAAUGGUAAAACACAUCAAUGGUAAUGAUGUAAUAUAAGUUCAAUUCUUAUUAAGGGCACCA